UACAGAGGGUGCGAGCGUUAAUCGGAAUUACUGGGCGUAAAGCGCGCGUAGGCGGCUUUGCAAGUCGGGUGUGAAAUCCCCAGGCUUAACCUGGGAACUGCGUUCGAGACUGCAUUGCUAGAGUAUGGGAGAGGGAAGUGGAAUUUCCGGUGUAGCGGUGAAAUGCGUAGAUAUCGGAAGGAACAUCAGUGGCGAAAGCGACUUCCUGGACCAGCACCGACGUUCAGGCACGAAAGCGUGGGGAGCAAACAGG
rnacentral:rRNA from 1 species